rnacentral:rRNA from 1 species
UACAGAGGUGGCAAGCGUUGUUCGGAAUUACUGGGCGUAAAGGGCGCGUAGGCGGCCAUCUAAGUCAGACGUGAAAUCCCCCGGCUUAACCUGGGAACUGCGUCUGAUACUGGACGGCUUGAGUAUGGGAGAGGGAUGUGGAAUUCCAGGUGUAGCGGUGAAAUGCGUAGAUAUCUGGAGGAACACCGGUGGCGAAGGCGGCAUCCUGGACUACUACUGACGCUGAGUGAGCGAAAGCCAGGGGAGCAAACGGG